rnacentral:rRNA from 1 species
AGCAGCCGCGGUAAUACGGAGGGUGCGAGCGUUAAUCGGAAUUACUGGGCGUAAAGCGCAUGCAGGCGGCCGUGUUAAGUCAGAUGUGAAAGACCCGGGGCGUUAACCUCGGAAUUGCAUUUGAAACUAGGCAGGCUAGAGUCUUGUAGAGGGGGGUAGGAAUUUCUAGGUGUAGCGGUGAAAUAGCGUAGAGAUCUGAAGGAAUACCAGUGGCGAAGGCGGCCCCCUCGGACAAAGACUGACGCUCAGAUGCGAAAGCGUGGGGAGCAAACAGGAUUAGAUACCCCUGGUAG